UGUUGAAUCAAUUUGGUGAAAUCAAUCUUUUUCUACUAAUUAUAGUUCAAGGCGGAGCUUGUGGUACCGAGAGCAUGGACUGGGCUUUAAUGUUCAUGCAGAUGUAUGAAAAGUGGGCUGAACUUCGAAGAUCUAGAAUUACAGUGUUGGAUGAAAAGGCUGGCAAGAUAGUAGAAAUCAAGAAAUGGGAAGGAAAAUGAUUUGCCAAGCUUCAAAGAGUUCAGUUGGUAGGAGCCGAAAUCUGCUACAAAUGUGUUAAUUUUUGAAAGGUUUUGAACUUUUCCUGGGAACCUGGGUAAUGGAUUUCGUGUGGUCAAGUUCUUGUUGGUAAAUUUAAUUGGUAGUGUAUGGAGUGGAAUUGGGUUCUCAUAUACCGUAUAUGUGAUUUAGACACUGGAUUCACUCUUACCGUAUUUGACAGUUUAAUUCACCGUAUAUGGCAGCUUACUGUAUAUGCCAGACAACUCACCGUAUUUGGUAGCUUACCGUAUAUGCCAGACAACUUACCGUA